UUUUGAACAAACUUGCUUAAUUUUUUAAGCGUGAAAACCUCAUUUUACCUCUUCACUAUGCAAUAUAUAUGUACUUGUCAUUGUCACAAAUGGUACUGUUAGGAACAAGGAA
rnacentral:lncRNA from 1 species